GACGAACGCUGGCGGCGUGCUUAACACAUGCAAGUCGAACGGAAAGGCCCUGCUUUUGUGGGGUGCUUGAGUGGCGAACGGGUGAGUAACACGUGAGUAACCUGCCCUUGACUUUGGGAUAACUUCAGGAAACUGGGGCUAAUACCGGAUAGGAGCUCCUGCUGCAUGGUGGGGGUUGGAAAGUUUCGGCGGGUGGGGAUGGACUCGCGGCUUAUCAGCUUGUUGGUGGGGUAGUGGCUUACCAAGGCUUUGACGGGUAGCCGGCCUGAGAGGGUGACCGGCCACAUUGGGACUGAGAUACGGCCCAGACUCCUACGGGAGGCAGCAGUGGGGAAUAUUGCACAAUGGGCCGAAGCCUGAUGCAGCAACGCCGGGUGCGGGAUAACGGCCUUCGGGUUGUAAACCGCUUUCGCAUGUGACGAAGCGUGAGUGACGGUAAUGGGUAAAGAAGCACCGGCUAACUACGUG
rnacentral:rRNA from 1 species